GAGUUUGGAACCUGGCUCAGGAUGAACGCUAGCGGGAGGCCUAACACAUGCAAGCCGAGCGGUAUUUAGUCCUUUCGGAGACAGAGAGAGCGGCGUACGGGUGCGGAACACGUGUGCAACCUGCCUUUAUCAGGGAGAUAGCCUUUCGAAAGGAAGAUUAAUAUCCCAUAAUAUAUUAAGUGGCAUCAUUUAAUAUUGAAAGCUCCGGCGGAUAGAGAUGGGCACGCGCAAGAUUAGAUAGUUGGUGAGGUAACGGCUCACCAAGUCAGUGAUCUUUAGGGGGCCUGAGAGGGUGAUCCCCCACACUGGUACUGAGACACGGACCAGACUCCUACGGGAGGCAGCAGUGAGGAAUAUUGGACAAUGGGUGAGAGCCUGAUCCAGCCAUCCCGCGUGAAGGACGACGGUUCUAUGGAUUGUAAACUUCUUUUAUACUGGGAUAAACCUACCCUCGUGAGGGUAGCUGAAGGUACAGUAUGAAUAAGCACCGGCUAACUCCGUGCCAGCAGCCGCGGUAAUACGGAGGGUGCAAGCGUUAUCCGGAUUUAUUGGGUUUAAAGGGUCCGUAGGCGGAUCUGUAAGUCAGUGGUGAAAUCUCACAGCUUAACUGUGAAACUGCCAUUGAUACUGCAGGUCUUGAGUAAAGUAGAAGUGGCUGGAAUAAGUAGUGUAGCGGUGAAAUGCAUAGAUAUUACUUAGAACACCAAUUGCGAAGGCAGGUCACUAUGUUUUAACUGACGCUGAUGGACGAAAGCGUGGGGAGCGAACAGGAUUAGAUACCCUGGUAGUCCACGCCGUAAACGAUGCUAACUCGUUUUUGGGUUUUCGGAUUCAGAGACUAAGCGAAAGUGAUAAGUUAGCCACCUGGGGAGUACGUUCGCAAGAAUGAAACUCAAAGGAAUUGACGGGGGCCCGCACAAGCGGUGGAUUAUGUGGUUUAAUUCGAUGAUACGCGAGGAACCUUACCAAGGCUUAAAUGGGAAUUGACAGGUUUGGAAACAGACUUUUCUUCGGACAAUUUUCAAGGUGCUGCAUGGUUGUCGUCAGCUCGUGCCGUGAGGUGUUAGGUUAAGUCCUGCAACGAGCGCAACCCCUGUCACUAGUUGCCAUCAUUCAGUUGGGGACUCUAGUGAGACUGCCUACGCAAGUAGAGAGGAAGGUGGGGAUGACGUCAAAUCAUCACGGCCCUUACGCCUUGGGCCACACACGUAAUACAAUGGCCGGUACAGAGGGCAGCUACUUAGCGAUAAGAUGCGAAUCUCGAAAGCCGGUCUCAGUUCGGAUUGGAGUCUGCAACUCGACUCUAUGAAGCUGGAAUCGCUAGUAAUCGCGCAUCAGCCAUGGCGCGGUGAAUACGUUCCCGGGCCUUGUACACACCGCCCGUCAAGCCAUGGAAGUCUGGGGUACCUGAAGUCGGUGACCGUAAAAGGAGCUGCCUAGGGUAAAACAGGUAAC
rnacentral:rRNA from 1 species